UUCAAUAGUUAAGAUAAAUGAUCCAAAUUACAAUACAAUGUACUAAGCUAACUAGCUAUAAAUGAGUCAGUUUAAUGAGCUAGUUCAUGACUUGUUCAAUGAGCCCACUUACAAGCCUGUUCAACGAGCCAACUCAUAAGUAUGUUCAACAAGCUUUCUCAUGAGCCUAUAAAUGAGUCAGCUCAUGAGCUUUAGUGAGUAGAAUAUUAAUAAUCUUGAGCUUGGUUCAUUUAUAAAACAAGCCUAAAAAUUAGGCUUCAACACAACUCAUCAAGAAAACUAGUUAGGCCAAGUCAAGCUUUUAUUGAGUUGAGCCUCAAGUAGCUUACAAGCGGUUUGGCUUAUUUACAUCCCUAGGUGCUGAAGAAGAAAGAGUUCAAUUUCAAAUAUAUAAAUGUCUUUAAGGAGAUAUAUGAGGGGCGAUCACAAGUGUAAGAACAGUGGGAGGGGAUACGAAUUGGUUCGCCAUAACAAAGGGUUAAAAUCAAGGAUUGACUUUGAGUCCAUACCUAUUUACCUUAUUUAUAGGAUGAGAUAAUCAGCCAUAUUCAAGAUGUUGUCCUAUUGUGUGUGUUAUUUGCAGAUGAAGUUGUCUUAGUGGAUGAAAUUAGCAGAGUUAAACCAACAAUUAGAGUUGUGGAGGACUUUUGAGAGCAAGAGUUUUAGUCUACACAUAAGUAAGACUGAAUAUAUGCAUUGUGAGUUUAGCUCUCAUAGAAGG
rnacentral:misc_RNA from 1 species